AGCAUGAUUUUAUGCAAUAUAGCUUUCGUAUAAAUACGCUUGACUAAAAGAGAUACUUUCACAGUGAUUUGUUAUUUCUGGGUCAAUUUCUUCACUUUAUAAAGAUGCAAUCAUUCGUUCUCCUUAUGACAACUGCUUUGGUAGCAUCCAUUCUGAUCCAGGAAACAGCAGCAGACUUUGAUUUCAGUGGCUACUCGCCGAUCUCAAGAAUGACCAGACAGACAGGUGGAAAUUCAUCUAGUCAAACCGUGGAACUUGAUUUAUGUUUGCUGUCUCUGGGUUUAAAGGUUCCAUUGUCAGACCUCGCUCCAAUAUUGCAACCAGUCCUCCAGACUUUAUUGCAGACAGUGAGAAGAACGGUCUAAUUUCAAUGAACAAUGGCGAACUUAAUAUUUGUUGCUAAUCAUUAUGCUAUUGAUCAUUGCGUUUUAUGCAUUUAAAUAAAAUUGUUAAGGAUUAA